UUGAAAAAUUAGUCGUAUUAUCGCCUUUUACAUAAAAUCAGCAUAGUGUGUUUACACUUUUGCUUGCCACUGUAUAUUUUUCAUGUAUUAGGUU